rnacentral:tRNA from 1 species
CAAGGAAUAGUUUAAUUAGAAUUCUGGCUUUGGGAGCUGGAAGCAGGAGUUAAAAUCUUCUUUCUUUGA